rnacentral:rRNA from 1 species
GACAGAGGGUGCAAACGUUGUUCGGAAUUACUGGGCGUAAAGCGCGUGUAGGCAGCUUGGCAAGUCGGAUGUGAAAGCCCUGGGCUCAACCUAGGAAGUGCAUUCGAAACUGCCGAGCUAGAGUUCUGGAGAGGAAGGCGGAAUUCUCGGUGUAGAGGUGAAAUUCGUAGAUAUCGGGAGGAACACCGGUGGCGAAGGCGGCCUUCUGGACAGCAACUGACGCUGAGACGCGAAAGCGUGGGGAGCAAACAGG